rnacentral:rRNA from 1 species
GCCUGAUGGAGCAACACCGCGUGAGUGAAGAAGGGUUUCGGCUCGUAAAGCUCUGUUGUUAAAGAAGAACACGUAUGAGAGUAACUGUUCAUACGUUGACGGUAUUUAACCAGAAAGUCACGGCUAACUACGUGCCAGCAGCCGCGGUAAUACGUAGGUGGCAAGCGUUAUCCGGAUUUAUUGGGCGUAAAGAGAGUGCAGGCGGUUUUCUAAGUCUGAUGUGAAAGCCUUCGGCUUAACCGGAGAAGUGCAUCGGAAACUGGAUAACUUGAGUGCAGAAGAGGGUAGUGGAACUCCAUGUGUAGCGGUGGAAUGCGUAGAUAUAUGGAAGAACACCAGUGGCGAAGGCGGCUACCUGGUCUGCAACUGACGCUGAGACUCGAAAGCAUGGGUAGCGAACAGGAUUAGAUACCCUGGUAG